AACGAACGCUGGCGGCAGGCUUAACACAUGCAAGUCGAACGAGAUCUUCGGAUCUAGUGGCAGACGGGUGAGGAACACGUGGGAACAUCCCUUUCAGUUCGGAAUAACGUUGGGAAACUAACGCUAAUACCGGAUACGUCCUUCGGGAGAAAGAUUUAUCGCUGAAAGAUUGGCCCGCGUCUGAUUAGCUAGUUGGUGAGGUAACGGCUCGCCAAGGCUACGAUCAGUAGCUGAUCUGAGAGGAUGAUCAGCCACAUUGGGACUGAGACACGGCCCAAACUCCUACGGGAGGCAGCAGUGGGGAAUAUUGGACAAUGGGCGCAAGCCUGAUCCAGCCAUGCCGCGUGAGUGAUGAAGGCCUUCGGGUUGUAAAGCUCUUUUGUCCGGGAAGAUAAUGACUGUACCGGAAGAAUAAGCCCCGGCAAACUUCGUGCCAGCAGCCGCUGUAA
rnacentral:rRNA from 1 species